CUGGAAGGUCCUCAGGCCGAAAGGGGCUCUGCCCGCCCGAGGAUGGGCCGGCGGCCGAUUAGGUAGUUGGUGGGGUAACGGCCCACCAAGCCGAAGAUCGGUACGGGCCAUGAGAGUGGGAGCCCGGAGAUGGACACUGAGACACGGGUCCAGGCCCUACGGGGCGCAGCAGGCGCGAAACCUCCGCAAUGCGGGCAACCGCGACGGGGGGACCCCCAGUGCCGUGGCAACGCCACGGCUUUUCCGGAGUGUAAAAAGCUCCGGGAAUAAGGGCUGGGCAAGGCCGGUGGCAGCCGCCGCGGUAAUACCGGCGGCCCGAGUGGUGGCCGCUAUUAUUGGGCCUAAAGCGUCCGUAGCCGGGCCCGUAAGUCCCUGGCGAAAUCCCACGGCUCAACCGUGGGGCUUGCUGGGGAUACUGCGGGCCUUGGGACCGGGAGAGGCCGGGGGUACCCCUGGGGUAGGGGUGAAAUCCUAUAAUCCCAGGGGGACCGCCAGUGGCGAAGGCGCCCGGCUGGAACGGGUCCGACGGUGAGGGACGAAGGCCAGGGGAGCGAACCGGAUUAGAUACCCGGGUAGUCCUGGCUGUAAAGGAUGCGGGCUAGGUGUCGGGCGAGCUUCGAGCUCGCCCGGUGCCGAAGGGAAG
rnacentral:rRNA from 1 species